CAACUCGUAACGGUGGAUGUCUCGGCUCCUACAUCGAUGAAGAACGUAGCAAACUGCGAAACUCGUGAAUCAUCAAAUUUUUGAACGCAAGUGCCGCUCGCGGGUAACCCUGCGAGCAUGUCUGUUUGAGUGUCC
rnacentral:rRNA from 1 species